rnacentral:rRNA from 1 species
GACGAACGCUGGCGGCGUGCUUAACACAUGCAAGUCACGGGGGCCCGCAAGGGUAACCGGCGAACGGGUGCGUAACACGUGAGCAAGCUUCCGAUUAGUGGGGGAUAGCCGGCCUAACGGCCGGGUAAUACCGCAUACGACCACUGGGUGGCAUCACCUGGUGAGGAAACCUCCGGGGCUAAUCGAGGCGGUCGCGGCCUAUCAGCUAGUUGGCGGGGUAAUGGCCCACCAAGGCUAUGACGGGUAGCUGGUCUGAGAGGGUGGCCAGCCACAUUGGGACUGAGACACGGCCCAGACUCCUACGGGAGGCAGCAGUGGGGAAUAUUGCGCAAUGGACGAAAGUCUGACGCAGCGACGCCGCGUGUGGGAUGAAGCCUUUCGGGGCGUAAACCACUGUUGCCCGGGACGAAUCUCCCCUUUCGAGGGGAUUGACGGUACCGGGUGAGGAAGCACCGGCUAACUCUGUGCCAGCAGCCGCCGUAAUAC